GACGAACGCUGGCGGCGUGCUUAACACAUGCAAGUCGAACGAUGAACUUGGAGCUUGCUCUGGGGGAUUAGUGGCGAACGGGUGAGUAACACGUGAGUAACCUGCCCUGGACUCUGGGAUAACUUCGAGAAAUCGGAGCUAAUACCGGAUAGGACCUUGCACCGCAUGGUGUGGGGUGGAAAGUUUUUCGGUUUGGGAUGGACUCGCGGCCUAUCAGCUUGUUGGUGAGGUAAUGGCUCACCAAGGCGUCGACGGGUAGCCGGCCUGAGAGGGUGACCGGCCACACUGGGACUGAGACACGGCCCAGACUCCUACGGGAGGCAGCAGUGGGGAAUAUUGCACAAUGGGCGAAAGCCUGAUGCAGCAACGCCGCGUGAGGGAUGACGGCCUUCGGGUUGUAAACCUCUUUUAGCAGGGAAGAAGCGAAAGUGACGGUACCUGCAGAAAAAGCGCCGGCUAACUACGUGCCAGCAGCCGCGGUAACAC
rnacentral:rRNA from 1 species